UUCGUCUGCCAAGGCGGUCUCCAGUUUCCUCCCUCCCAUUCUCUCUCUCCCCACCGCUCUUCCCCGCGUCGCCCCCUUCCUCCUCCCUGCCCGCACCGCCCGCCCGCCCCCUUCCUCCUCUCCCGCCGGUGUCCCCAACCUCCUCCCUCUCCGGCGCCGCUACUCGUUCAGCCCCUCCUCCCCGCGCCCCUCCACCGCCCCUCUCCCUCCCUCCUCGCGCCGAGCUGCAGCGACGAGGCCUGGAUCCAGGGCCCCUCGCCGGAUCCAUGGCGGGGCGGUGGAGGCCCGCGCGGUCGCGCGGUGGAGGCACGCCAUGGCCGCGGCGCCUUCCUCUCUGCGGAGGAGCAGGGGCCCGCCAUGGCCGCAGUGCGCGGCCGUCCUCCCUCUCCCUCCCCCUCCCCUCUCUCUCUCCCUGCUCCCAUCCUCGCUCGCUCCGCCGGCCUCCCUUCUCCCCGCGCCGCCGCCGGCCGUGGCUCCCUCCCUCCCCGCGCGGCCGCCGGCCCUAGCUUCGCCCUUCCCGCCACCGACAAGGACAACCGAGGUCGGCGCCGGCGCCGCGCGCGCCGCGCGGGCCCUCAUCCUCCUUUCCCCCUCCUCCUCAGCGCUCCUGCGCAGUGCGGCGCUCGCGCGACCUCCUCUCCCCACCGGUUCUCUCCUUCCCGCCGCUGCCCCAUCCCCGUGCCACCGCCUCACCACGCGAGACGGUGGCGGGCAGCGACGUCGCCACCGGGCUGCGGUGUGGCGCCAACCGCGUGCCCGGGCAGUGUCCGGCACCGGCCGCUGCGCCACGCGAGCGGGCCCCGCUGGUGGCCGCCGGCGUUGCUGCCCCCCUCCCGGCGCUGCCUGCUCCCGUAGUACUGACGUGGACACCUCCAGAGCUCACGGAGCCGGCAGUCCCGACAUUCCACCCCGGCGAAGCGAAGGCGGCUGCGACCAAGGCAUUGACGGCGGCGGCAGGUGGGCGGCUCCCGACGGCUCAACAGCCAGGACGCUCAUGGCCGUGACGACCAUAGUUUGCCCGGCGCACAAGGAGGCGGUCGCUCUGUAGCGGUAAGUAUCUUCGCUUCCGCAGCUUCCUUCUUCCCUGACACCUCUCUCUGCCUCAUGUUUUUCCUCAGAUCUAGCCAGCGCAGGCAGGUCGCGCCCGCCGGUGGCGGCGGCGGAGCACCGGGCCGCGCACAUAGGUGGGCGCUGCAGAGCACCGGCCCACGCACACCGCAGGUGGUUGCGGCUUUGGCUACUAUUGGCAUUCCUUCCGAUCCUCCGAGCUCGCCUCCGUCGCCGACUUCUCGUCGCUGACCUCACCUUCACCCGGCCGCCCUCGCCGCCUCCUCGCUGACCCUCUCCGUCGUGUGGUCCACCUCUCUGCAGCUCUCCUCCGGCAUCCCGCUCAAGCCGAUUUGCCGGAUCUCCGGCGGGCGCCGCCCUCCGCACCCUCUGCUCGUUGCUAACCGCUAUCUGCUAUGCUCCUCGAUUAGGAGGGGCCAAACUGAUCUAUGGAUUAUUUGCUCCUCUCUCCAGGCCAGGCAUGGUUAGCCUUCUGCGGAAGGAAUCUUAAGGCUGCACCACUAUAUAGGUAAUCCUUGAACAUUUCUUUCAUAUUCCCUUUGUCUAACUUCAAAGUUUAGUUCACCUGUGUACUAAGAUGUGUUAUUGCUGUCAAUUUUCAAGAUUUGGUAUUUGAAUUGUAGUAGUUGUUAAUUUGCUCCCUUUUGACUUCUUGAUCUACCUUGCAUAUACAAGAAAGUGCUGAGAAUGGAUAUGUGCUUGCCAAGCUACUUACAAUUUUCAAAGGUUUUUCCCCCUGCUCUCAUUUCUAGAGUGCCUUUACAUGCACACAAGCGGCUUCAGGAUGCUCUAAUAGAUUUGCAAGAGCUAUUAUUGACUGCCUAGUUGCAAUUAUUACACAUAUUUGAUAAGAUGUCAGGGCCAAGCCUCUUCAACUCCUUUACUUCUGAGUUCUAUCCUUCACUUGUAAGAGGUUGCUUUCCAAUGAUUUUGCAUUAGCAGCUAUUGUUAUUGAAAAAUUAUGUCUAGGGAGAUGCCAUCUUAGUAACACUGCAUAUUUACUUCGUCCUGAAAUUAGGUUCUUGCUAUCCCUGUGUUUCCCGUGUUAUGCAAGGUUCAAAUUUAAUGCUACUUGAGAUGAUCUGAUAGAUCUGCAUGUUUAGAACUGAUUGGUACUCAAAAUAUUCAUGACAUCUGAAUAUUUAAAUAUCUAUCUUAUGUCCAAAAGUCUCAACAUUAGAUAGGGUGCCUCGUGUAUGAACCUCCAAUUGGAUUGGACUGUGGGUAGCCACAGCUGAUAUAUUUGCGGUCUCAACUAUGGUCAUGUGCUAAGAAAAACAGUGGACACAUCAUUUGAUGUUGGAGAUAAAUUGAUUAUGAUGAAAGAGAACAUAAGCACCUAAGCAAGCAGGUUUUCCUACCUGCUCCAUUGGAUUCUUAUUACUGAUACACUGUUGUUGAAUAUCUCCAAGCUAAUAAAGAAUUGAACUGAAACUUCAAAAUGAAAAAAAAAUGGUAUUCGUAUGUCUAAAAAUAAUCAAACAAUCUGUUGCUAUGUCCGCCUUAUAUCCAUUCUGUAAUAUACUCACAUAUGCAUGUCCUGUUUCCACUUUGUCUUAAUGGAACUUUUUCCUGUAUCUUAUGUUCAACUUAAGUUAAAAGGAUUCAGAACCUCAGUGAAAGUCUGGUUAACCUUCCAUUAUCAAUGCAAGUGGGAUUGAGUGGAGCUGCUUUGUAGGACCAUUAUUCCAUAGAAAUUUUGUUCUAGGCAAAAUGAUUAACCUUUUUAAGUCAGGGAACAUGACAUGGACUUUGACUGCUGAGGUUCCUACUGAAAUAUCACUGAAUGAAUACCACUUUUUAUCAAUCCUAUUAAAUUUACAUAUCUGAUUGGACCUGUUGGCGAAAUUGUACUUUCAGUUUAGCUCCAAGCAAUUGCUCUGAAUGUUGAACAAUUUCUGAAAAUUGAAUGACAGGGAAAAAUUUCUUUUGAGAAAUGCAUCUACAUGUUGUCGACUGUUGUUCUACCACAGGCUCUAAUUGGCUAAAGCAAAUUUCAUAUACGAAAGAGAAGCCCCAGCUCAGACUUGCACAGUAGUUUCUUAUCCAAAGUUUAAAAACAGUAGCUUUUGAGUGCAGACUCAUUAUUUUUCAUUUUGGUGCAGGUUCACAGUAUGUAAGGGUUCCUCUAACUUAUCUUAAAAAAGUAAACCACCUGCAGAUCCUUACUAAUUAUCUUUAUGUUUUGGGUCCAUAAGAAGCUCCAGCUUAGGCUUGCACAACAAAGAGAAUAUAUGAAGAGAUUAAAUACUAUGUAUACGAGCCAAGGACAAUCAGUCCCAAGCAAAAAUAAAUCACCCACCACAAAAAAACUUUCAUUCAUGUACCAUUUGUGUGAUUAUCGUGCAUCAUUCUCUAUUGAAAUCUAUGUACACAUAUGUAUCAAUAUGUCAUUUUUUCCUAGAAGGCUACCCUACUUUCUUGUUUUCUACUAUUUAUAAAUAAUGAUGUAUUGCCAGAUGGAAUCACAGGAAAAAAAAACAUGUACAGAAAGGGAGAGACAAAGUAAUUUCUUUCAAUUUUGCAAUUACUUUUUUUACUGGUUGAUACCUGAUUUGAUUUUCCAAUUAGGAAAAUGAGUUGCCUCUUCCUCCUCGACUCCAAGCCAACUCGAGAUGUCACGACGGUGGCCUGGGCGGUGUGUUAGGGCAACCACGCAUCAGUAGCAGACAGUCUUUCAUCUAAGCCAAGCUGUCCAUCUAAAGCCAAGCUCAAGUUGCUCGUGUACAAACCAUGUUUGCAGAGACGAGGAGCGGCAUCAACGAGGGGAAUUAGCUCUGUACAACCUCAUACUAAAAAUGAAAUCUGGAACAAUUGAAAUUUUGCCAGCGGCUAUCAGGUGAAACAAGUCCCAAUCAAUCAUGUGCUCCCAAUCUCAUCAGAAUAAGGAAGCAACUAUGUUGAUGCAGCAUCAACUUCUAUCAUCAACCAAAACAUAAAUAUACCACCUCUCGUCUAAACUUUUCCAGCAUGUAAUGUCUAUAUUAAGGAGAAACCAAGCCACUCUUUUCGGACCAUCCCAAAACAGCUGCAACUACAGCUCGAUUUUAGAUUAUGUACUUGGUAGUCUCUAGCCUUUUACUAGAGCACCAAAUGUGUUUUGUUGUAAUAUAAAUGUAAUCUACUGUCUAUUAUAAUUCCCUAUAAAUAAUGUAGAAUAUUAAUAUUAUAGUUACCUACUGUGAGUUUUUGUA